UGUGUAACAAUGUCCUUUGUCUCUGACCCAGGCAUCUCUUGUCUUCUUCCAGAAACCAUGACACUAUGGCAGGCCAACUUAUUAGCUUUCAAGUAAGGUAACAUCUCAGACCAUCACAGGUUUUGAUAGAGGAAACUCUGAAGGACCACAGGAGUUGGAGGUUCCACGUAUCUCUAAGUAGUAACAUACAAUGGGUCAAAAACAGAAGAAAGAGAACUCAAGAUUCCCAAGCCACAGAGCUGUUGAUUGGAGGCUGACUCAGAGAGACCCUGGAUUCUGUGACAUACAGAGACAACAGGUACAGGAUCAGUUUGGGUUUUAAUUGACGGGCUCAGCACCAAAUGACAGACUUGACACAUCCACCCCCACCAUGGAUGCUGUCCGUCCACUGUUGCACAAUGUCCUUCAGUGUCUAAUUUACAGAUCCAGCUGUAUUUCCCCUUCCACCUGCAUCCCUGAAGUUCCUCCCACCUGAAAACUUCACCUGACCCAAGAAAGCAAAGGAAAAAACCCAGAGAGCCAGCUCAUGGUCUGGUUCACUGUUUAACAGCCAGGAGCCAGAGCCUGCGUACUAGAAGUGGAUGCCCAGGAAGUACUUGUGAGCUGACUAAGAGUGUAAGAACGCCACCCACUUCAUUUAGGAAAGUGAAGCAGGAUUCCAUGCAGUGUGAAUGAGUGCACAUGGAACAAGCAGGUUAUCAUUUAUAUUCAGCAAGGGACCUCCAUGGACAGGACAUUUGGAGAGCUGCUAUCAAACAUCAGAACUUCUGACACUGUACACACAGUCUUAUAUUCUGCCUUGUCUGUUGUGAUAUCUCACUACAGUAAUGAUUAUGAUGAUGAGCACUUAUGCGUUGAUAUUGCAAUACGUCUGCAUAAGAACCAUUCCUAAGGCAGGUUAUAUUAUUACCCUCAGUGUACAGGUAAAGAGGUUAGACUGAUAACUUACCCGGUGUCACAUAGGUACUAA
rnacentral:antisense_RNA from 1 species